GGCGAAUGCAGAGGCACGAUAAACUAGCCUUGAAAAUAUUGUUAAAAUCACAAAUGGAAUGGCUGAGAGUCACUGACAUGAUCCAGACCAACAGUACGAACCAGUCCAGGAAUUUCCAGUCGCAAAUGAGGUGAGCAGUGGUUUUCGAUUGGGAUGGCCAGAAGCGGACUGAACCACAAUGCAAGUUACAGUGGACACUCCGCAGCUGCCAACCUCGUUGGGAAGGGCCCUUCCAGGUCUUCCUCACCACCCCAACUGCUGCUAAGGUCACCGAGCCUUCUGUCUGGGUUCUUGCAAGGGGGGGAAGACGAAGUCGAAGACGAAGAUCGAACUUGCCCUACUGUGUGGACUUGCCAUUGCCAGCAUUGGUGCACAAGAAGGGACAGUUUACCUGUGCGAUCCUGAGCAACCAGAGACUGUGUACCUACUAUACCGAAAAAAAUAUCCUUGUGUGGCGAGAGACUGAACCUUACCAAGAAUGACUAUUGCAGUGGUCAACUGCAUCGAAAAGAUUGAACAGUUCAUUUACAGAAAAAGUCUAAAUGGUCUUUACCUUGUAACAGUGUUGUGUGCCAGUUUGAUUCCGGUUGUGCUAUGGGCAACCCUGCUAAGCCUUACCCCCAUCUAAAUAGGUCAUACUGCAAAAGAGAAAAGAUAUCUUUCACUAACUAUUUGUUUCUCCAAAGUCACAUUUGAAUAUUUGGCAGUGAUGAAGUGCUCUGUUACACCCUAACUUCAGCAAAAGACUCUGACCCAUUUUCCCCUCCCGAAUCCUAAUGAAGGAGUAUCGAAUGCUACUAAAGUGUUUACUGGACAUAACAUUUCUUUUGAUUAUUACUUAUCCCCACCUGCUAGCUGCUUAUGAACUUCCUCCAAUAAAUCCAGGGUAGCCUAUCCAAAUUGUUACAAUGGUAAAGGAUGGGGUGUACUUACGUUAAUGUGACCAAGAUUAUUCCCUGCGCAUUGAUUAAAUGUGCCAGUCACCACUGCUCCCCUGUGAAACCUCGCAUCUCAUGCAUACGUCUUGGAGAAGAGUGUGUCUCUGUUCCAUCGACUAUCCAUAUGUUCCAGGAAGUCACCAAGACAGGCCUGCUUCUUAUUGGGAAGCUCCCUCCAUUAUCUAUACUAAACCUGGUUACUUUUUCUUUCAACCAAGGCAAAGCAACCAAUUUCCUUGUCCUUAACGAAAUAGGCUGUAACUGUAGGAACACUUUUUCCGACCACAGUUCCCUGUUCAGUUACCUGGCAAUAGGUUUGAGAUUUCCCUGUCAAAAUGUUCAGUCUCACCCGAGUUCUGCGCAAAUUGGAAAAAUCUGAAGGCUUUGAGCACCACUAAGGCUCACUCCCUAGGGUAUGCAUUUCUUAGUAUUUUCUCUGUAGGAGGAUCUGCAUGAAGUAGUAGCCAUCAAAACCAAAAUUAUCUCAUUUGCGGUGUCACUUUCUUGGGUAAUGAGACGACUACUGCCUUAACAGGAGUUAAGGGCAUGCUUUCAGAAUUAUGCCUUUUUUCCCAACAAACUGGUAUGCCCUCGACUACAUACAUGCCAAAGAAGGUGGAGUUUGCGCCAUAGUCAAGGCAAAUGCAUUGUGGGGGUCAUUGACCUCAUCAAAAAUAUUACCAGGCAUAUAGAUAACAUCCACACCUUUGUCAGCCAAAUGACUGAAGGUGCAGGUUGGGGAGACUGGGCUUUGGCUCAUGGUACAACUGGCUGAUCAAUAUGGCUUUGUAUGCUGCUAUUGUUUUAGUUGGUCUUUUUGUUGGUAUUGCUAUUGUUAAGUGUAUUAUUGCUAAAAUAUUAGCGUCCAUUGACAGCAUCGGUUCUACCCAGAAAAUGCUUCUUCUCCAUUCAGAUGAAGAUGAGGAGACGCCAUUGCCAACCCCUACUUCCUGCUCGGAGGAGGAGGAAGUAUGGCAAUCUUUGGCUUCCAUUCAGUUGGACUAAUCUAACCCAUGCCCUCACAUCUAUGGUGUGGUCAUGGAAUGACUAAAGAGGGGAGAUGAGUAUGUAAAAUCUGGAUUUAGGUUGUCGUCAGGAGCAACGAUUUAAUGCAUGCUUUUACUAAUUACAAAAUGGCUUCUAAAUGCAAGUAACACAAAAUAACAUAAUAAAAUGGCUUUGGGCUGCAAAUUAAUACACUGUUUAAAAUGGCUUCUCACCCAGCUUAAAGCUGCAUUCCUGCUUUGCUGAGCUAGCUGAAUUAAAAUAUAAAGCAGACAAUGGAGACUUCAUUAUAUGAAUCAUAAGACAUUUACUGACCACCCUGACUAACCUUGAACCACGAGUACAAGACAAUAAUGUGUGUAAGACAAUACUGUUUCCUAGGAAAUAUCAUUGGAUUAACUGCAGUCCAUUAUGUCACCUUAUUACAUUUCAUUGGUUUUCCUUUGUAAUUAAGGUUGUACUGUCCCUUAAAAAAAACAUAAAAAUUGCUUAUUGUUCAAAUUCAUUGCACAAUUUCUCCAAAGAACACAGAAGCUUUUAACCUCUGUUGCUGGACAAAUCUGCGCCCGGCUGAUACGAUUAAACUGUGAAACCUUGCUGAAGCAGACCGUACUCUUAGUGAUUCUUUUGACCGAUCAUGGA